CACGGGGGGAGCAAGCGUUGUUCGGAAUCACUGGGCGUAAAGGGUGUCUAGGCGGUCAGGUAAGUGAGAUGUGAAAUGCCCCGGCUUACCCGGGGACCGGCAUCUCAUACUGUCUGGCUUGAGUAUGGGAGAGGAUGAGGGAAUUCCUGGUGUAGCGGUGAAAUGCGCAGAUAUCAGGAAGAACACCCGUGGCGAAGGCGGUUCUCUGGAACGCAACUGACGCUGAGACGCGAAAGCGUGGGGAGCAAACAGG
rnacentral:rRNA from 1 species